rnacentral:rRNA from 1 species
CCGCCUGGGGAGUACGACCGCAAGGUUGAAACUCAAAGGAAUUGACGGGGGCCCGCACAAGCGGUGGAGCAUGUGGUUUAUUUCGAAGCAACGCGAAGAACCUUACCAGGUCUUGACAUACUCGUCUAUUCCUAGAGAUAGGAAGUUCCUUCGGGAACGGGAUACAGGUGGUGCAUGGUUGUCGUCAGCUCGUGUCGUGAGAUGUUGGGUUAAGUCCCGCAACGAGCGCAACCCCUAUUGUUAGUUGCCAUCAUUAAGUUGGGCACUCUAACGAGACUGCCGGUGAUAAACCGGAGGAAGGUGGGGAUGACGUCAAAUCAUCAUGCCCCUUAUGACCUGGGCUACACACGUGCUACAAUGGAUGGUACAACGAGUCGCGAGACAGUGAUGUUUAGCUAAUCUCUUAAAACCAUUCUCAGUUCGGAUUGUAGGCUGCAACUCGCCUACAUGAAGUCGGAAUCGCUAGUAAUCGCGGAUCAGCACGCCGCGGUGAAUACGUUCCCGGGCCUUGUACACACCGCCCGUCACACCACGGGAGUUGGGAGUACCCGAAGUAGGUUGCCUAACCGCAAGGAGGGCGCUUCCUAAGGUAAGACCGAUGACUGGGGUGAAGUCGUAACAAGGUAACCAAGGGCGAAUUCUG